GACGUAGGGCGCGAGCGUUGUCCGGAUUUAUUGGGCGUAAAGAGCUCGUAGGCGGCUUGUCGCGUCGUCCGUGAAAACCUGCAGCUCAACUGCAGGCUUGCGGGCGAUACGGGCAGGCUAGAGUUCGGUAGGGGAGACUGGAAUUCCUGGUGUAGCGGUGAAAUGCGCAGAUAUCAGGAGGAACACCGGUGGCGAAGGCAGCUCGCUGGGACGUUACUGACGCUGAGACGCGAAAGCGUGGGGAGCAAACAGG
rnacentral:rRNA from 1 species